rnacentral:rRNA from 1 species
UAAUACGGGAGGUGCGAGCGUUAAUCGGAAUUACUGGGCGUAAAGCGAGCGUAGGCUGUUAAUUAAGUCGAAUGUGAAAUCCCCGGGCUCAACCUGGGAACUGCAUUCGAAACUAUUUAACUAGAGUAUGGGAGAGGAAAGUAGAAUUUCCGGUGUAGCGGUGAAAUGCGUAGAUAUCGGAAGGGAUACCAGUGGCGAAGGCGGCUUUCUGGAACAAUACUGACGCUGAGGUUCGAAAGCGUGGGGAGCAAACAGGAUUAGAUACCCUGGUAGUCCACGCCGUAAACGAUGAGAACUAGAUGUUGGGAGGAUUGGCCUCUCAGUGUCGCAGCUAACGCAAUAAGUUCUCCGCCUGGGGAGUACGACCGCAAGGUUG